UCGGAUUUGGAGCGGAUUUUAAAAAAUUCAAAUCCGAAUCCGACUACAAAUCCAAAAUUCGAACCCGGGCCCGAAUCCGAUCUCGUGCUUGAUGAAUUUUAAAAAUUCAUAUUAACAUCAAAUUUAUAUACAUAUAAUGUAAAAUAAAUUCAGGUUUAGACAGGUUCGGGUUCGGAUCGAGUUCAGUCAAAACCCAUAUCCGACGAAUUUUUGUCUUUGAUAUCCAUAUUCAAAAUUAUAUCCGUUCAGAAAAAAAAAUACGCUCUGUUCGAAUUCAGAUUCAAAUAAAAUUUUGAAUAUUCAAACCCACUGACAUCCCCAUGCAUAACUACUUCUAACAAAUGAAAUAAUAAUGAAAA
rnacentral:lncRNA from 1 species